rnacentral:lncRNA from 1 species
UGGACUCACCGGUGCAACCGGCAUGCAUGGCACGGGUGCACAUGGCGUUGGGCUCUCCACUGGCAGUGAUGGGCAGCCGCGGCUUAACCGCUCCGCGAGCUCCAGCUCCAGCUCAGUAAGUACCUAGCUACACAAAAUAUUAUCUAAGAUAGUUUGUGAUUUUUAUUAUUUAAGGUCUGCUAACUCAUAGAUAUUGUUGUUGUAGUCUGAGGACGAUGGAAUGGGAGGAAGGAGGAAGAAAGCUGGGAUGAAGCAGAAGAUUAAGGGGAUGUUGCCUGGGGGGCACAAGGAGGAUCAGCAGACCCAAACGACGACUCCCGUUAUGGGAGGUUCGUAUGGAGCAACUGGUACCGGAGAGCAGCCUGAGGAGAAGAAAGGAAUUAUGGAUAAGAUCAAGGACAAGCUGCCCGGUGGUCACCACUGAUUCAUACACCCAGUUCUGCAAUCUCGUGUCUAUAGCCAUGAGAUCGUUUACGUGUGUGCUUAAAUAAUUUUAUGUUAUAUAUACUGCAGAAAACCACGGCUUUUCUUGUAUGUGGUUGGUGUGUUUCUUUUUAUUAAUAAGCGGCCCUCAUCACUGGUCAGGUUCUCAGCUAUUGCAGGCUGCUCCUGUACCUAUGUAUAUCAAAGUGGUGGCGUUUAUGUACUCGUGGGUUUCAUCUAAUACAUAUUACAAGCGUGCUUUUGUAUUACGUUUGUGUUUCUUUUAUGUAAAUAUCAUACUCCCUCAAGUCCCGUCCAUACUCUCUUUUACAUUUGAGAGGGGGACCCAAAGUAUUCUAAGACUCUUUUUAAAAUAUAAUUUUAGAAGUUAU